GAACCAUUCCUUAUAGUUAACAGAUUAAGGUUGCAUUUGAUCAAUCAAUGAAACAGAAUACAAUCAUUUGACCUACCAAUAUCAAAUCAUUACUCAUUUUCAUCCUUAAAUUCCAAUCAAUUUCGAACCACACACAUUGCAUUUGCUCGCUGGGCUUGGUAGCGCGAGCCUGUAACCCAAGUGGGAGCAUUAAGAUGGUGGAAUAAAUGGGCUUGCCUU